UACCAAAAGCCUUGCAGAGAGCACCUUGC
rnacentral:piRNA from 1 species